UGAGGAAUAUUGGUCAAUGGGCGAGAGCCUGAACCAGCCAAGUAGCGUGAAGGAUGAAGGUCCUACGGAUUGUAAACUUCUUUUAUACGGGAAUAAAGUUUCCUACGUGUAGGAUUUUGUAUGUACCGUAUGAAUAAGCAUCGGCUAACUCCGUGCCAGCAGCCGCGGUAAUACGGAGGAUGCGAGCGUUAUCCGGAUUUAUUGGGUUUAAAGGGAGCGCAGACGGGAGAUUAAGUCAGUUGUGAAAGUUUGCGGCUCAACCGUAAAAUUGCAGUUGAUACUGGUUUCCUUGAGUGCAGUUGAGGCAGGCGGAAUUCGUGGUGUAGCGGUGAAAUGCUUAGAUAUCACGAAGAACCCCGAUUGCGAAGGCAGCUUGCUAAACUGUAACUGACGUUCAUGCUCGAAAGUGUGGGUAUCAAACAGGAUUAGAUACCCUGGUAGUCCACACGGUAAACGAUGGAUACUCGCUGUUGGCGAUAUACUGUCAGCGGCCAAGCGAAAGCAUUAAGUAUCCCACCUGGGGAGUACGCCGGCAACGGUGAAACUCAAAGGAAUUGACGGGGGCCCGCACAAGCGGAGGAACAUGUGGUUUAAUUCGAUGAUACGCGAGGAACCUUACCCGGGCUUAAAUUGCAGACGAAUUACGAGGAAACUUGUAAGCCGCAAGGCGUCUGUGAAGGUGCUGCAUGGUUGUCGUCAGCUCGUGCCGUGAGGUGUCGGCUUAAGUGCCAUAACGAGCGCAACCCUCGUGGUCAGUUACUAACAGGUUAAGCUGAGGACUCUGGCCAGACUGCCAUCGUAAGAUGUGAGGAAGGUGGGGAUGACGUCAAAUCAGCACGGCCCUUACGUCCGGGGCUACACACGUGUUACAAUGGGAGGUACAGAAGGCAGCUACCCGGCGACGGGAUGCCAAUCCCCAAAACCUCUCUCAGUUCGGACUGGAGUCUGCAACCCGACUCCACGAAGCUGGAUUCGCUAGUAAUCGCGCAUCAGCCACGGCGCGGUGAAUACGUUCCC
rnacentral:rRNA from 1 species